rnacentral:lncRNA from 1 species
UUCUUAGCAAAAAAUUGGUACAAUCACAAAAGAGAAAAAACAAUAUUCAAACAAAAAUACAAGUAAAACAAGAUUCACUAACGAGAAGAAGAAUUACACUUGAUUCCUCUUCAACAUAGACUAGCUUCAACCCAAACCUCUUUCUGAAUCUCUCUCACUCCUCUCUUGUCUUCUAUAAAUUCAGAAUACUUCUCUCUCAUCCUAUACACCCAUGCACGAUGUAU